UACGUAGGGGGCAAGCGUUGUCCGGAUUUAUUGGGCGUAAAGAGCGUGUAGGCGGCCAUACAGGUCAGCUGUGAAAACUCGAGGCUCAACCUCGAGACGUCGGUUGAAACCGUAUGGCUAGAGUCCGGAAGAGGAGAGUGGAAUUCCCGGUGUAGCGGUGAAAUGCGCAGAUAUCGGGAAGAACACCCGUGGCGAAGGCGGCUCUCUGGGACGGUACUGACGCUGAGACGCGAAAGCGUGGGUAGCGAACAGG
rnacentral:rRNA from 1 species